rnacentral:rRNA from 1 species
GAUGAACGCUGGCGGCGUGCCUAAUACAUGCAAGUCGAGCGAACGGACGAGAAGCUUGCUUCUCUGAUGUUAGCGGCGGACGGGUGAGUAACACGUGGAUAACCUACCUAUAAGACUGGGAUAACUUCGGGAAACCGGAGCUAAUACCGGAUGAUAUUUUGAACCGCAUGGUUCAAAAGUGAAAGACGGUCUUGCUGUCACUUAUAGAUGGAUCCGCGCUGCAUUAGCUAGUUGGUAAGGUAACGGCUUACCAAGGCAACGAUGCAUAGCCGACCUGGGAGGGUGAUCGGCCACACUGGAACUGAGACACGGUCCAGACUCCUACGGGAGGCAGCAGUAGGGAAUCUUCCGCAAAGGGCGAAAGCCUGACGGAGCAACGCCGCGUGAGUGAUGAAGGUCUUCGGAUCGUAAAACUCUGUUAUUAGGGAAGAACAUAUGUGUAAGUAACUGUGCACAUCUUGACGGUACCUAAUCAGAAAGCCACGGCUAACUACGUG